UACGGGGGGGGGUAAGCGUUGUUCGGAAUUACUGGGCGUAAAGGGCUCGUAGGCGGCCAACUAAGUCAGACGUGAAAUCCCUCAGCUUAACUGGGGAACUGCGUCUGAUACUGGAUGGCUUGGAUUCGGGAGAGGAAUGCGGAAUUCCAGGUGUAGCGGUGAAAUGCGCAGAUAUCAGGAGGAACACCGGUGGCGAAGGCGGGUCUCUGGGCCGAUACUGACGCUGAGGAGCGAAAGCGUGGGGAGCGAACAGG
rnacentral:rRNA from 1 species